UGUGUCCCCAUAUGGAUAAAGCCCUGUGGUGAAAAAAAGACAGCUCCACGAACUUAAAGGCACAGAGCAUCCCGAUCAAACUGAUGACGGUUGGAAGGAGCCUUCUCUUUCGCAUCCCUCCAUGCCCACCGUCCUUAUGUAAGCCUCGUCCGAUAAGAAUUCCUCCCCGACGUCGUACACCUCCACCCCCUCCACGGCAUUGAAGGUUUCCAAAAGG